CCCUUAGAUGUUCUGGGCUGCACGCGCGCUACACUGAUGCGUUCAACGAGUUUAUGACCUUGCCCGAUAGGGUUGGGUAAUCUUUUUAAAUCGCAUCGUGAUGGGGAUAGAUUAUUGCAAUUAUUAAUCUUCAACGAGGAAUUCCUAGUAAGCGCGAGUCAUCAGCUCGUGCUGAUUGCGUCCCUGCCCUUUGUACACACCGCCCGCCGCUCCUACCGAUUGAGUGAUCCGGUGAAUAAUUCGGACUGCAGCAGUGUUCAGUUCCUGAACGUUGCAGCGGAAAGUUUAGUGAACCUUAUCACUUAGAGGAAGGAGAAGUCGUAACA
rnacentral:rRNA from 1 species